GCACGCACACGCACAAAUCAUACACUUUCAGUAAACAUCAAGCACAAAAGCUGAAAUAUUCAUGACAUCCCAAAUUUAGGACUCCUGCCCAGUUGUUAUACUCAUUCAACCAUCUGCCAGGUGUAUGUAUGUAGCUACAUAGAAUGAGAAAUUAGCUAUUUGCUUAGUCAAAAAGUUUGUUUGACAGCACGAUAUGUGGCUGACACGAUCCACUAGACACUGAUAAGUACUUGGCCUGAAGGACAAGUUGUUCAAAUUUAUCACUAUACUACUGACAAACAUACUGUUUUGUUCUAGAGGUGCAACAAGGGGAAUAAAACAAGGGUCUAGCCACAACCUAUCCAUUACAUUUCUAUAUUUAUUGAAUGUGAGAAUUUUGGAGUGAUUGUGGUGAUGGAGGAAAUUUCAGGUGAUUAAUACAGACAUUAGAACUCCUUCUUGGGAGUCUCCAGGUGAACUUGUUUUCAAGGCACAUAACUGCUAGAUACUGCUAGACUGCUUGUGAGUAUACACAUUAGAGCUUGACCGAUUUAUCGGGGGGGCCAAUAUUAUUGGCCAAUAUUAGUCAUUUUCCUAACUAUCGAUAUUGGCACUUAUAAUGGCUGAUAAAUGAAUAUUUAAAAAAUAAAAUAAAAAUGGACGAAACACCCUCCAACCAUGUUAUGAGUGUUGACGUCCACCAGAGGGCACUUUACGAGUUUAUGCCACCAGACUGACAUACAGGACGGCCAGUCUGAGAUCUCUUCUUGUAGGUCAGGGUCAGGUGUCACGGGUCACUAUGCAUGCGCAGACGAGCUAGCUACUGCAAAACUCAAGCGGCAAAGUGACCUGGUUAGCGGCUUCCAUCGAUAUCAACAAAAGAAGGGAUACAAAAAAAUGUGCAUUUGUCAAACUCCCAUCGCUAUUCCGAAGAAGGGGAAUGUUGAAAUGCACUUUUGAACUGUUCAUAAAAAGUGCAACACUGACUUCCCACCAAAAAAGCGAGCUGAGGCAGACACUGAAGCAUCAUUACGGCUCAUAAAAUGGAAUUAUUAUAACUAAGGUUCAGGAACUGGACCACGCCACUCCUCUUGCCACCCAGGUUCAGCCAAAUCAAACCACCUGUGUCUCAUCAAUCUAACUACCUGCGCCUAAUCAACUCAACCACCUCCGCCGCCCUGAUCCCAUCACCUGUGAAACCUAUAUAGGAUCACCAGCAGCUCAGCCUUCGUCAUUGCCAUCCCACGGCAAGAAGAUAUUACAGAACAGGGACCCGGGCCUUCCAGCACAGGAACCACGGGGAGAAAGAUGAAGCCAAGCCUAUUAGGAUGUCCUCCCACUGACACGUACCCCCACUCUACCAACCCCCAGGUUCCUAGAUGGUCCGGCAAAUCCGCAGCCCUACUCAAAGCUCCCUUUUCAUCCACCUUGAUUCAUUUAAGAACAAUAAUAAACCAGUUCAUAUUUUGUUUUGUUAUGUGCAGCUAAUGUUAUACAUGGUAGACUAGAUGAUUUUGAAAAAAAACAUCCAGUGUCAGGCCCAACUACUUAAGGUAUAAAUCUGAAUACAAAUUGAAAUGCAAUAUAUUUUUUUUUUUUUUUCAACAUAAACAGAUAGAAAAAGUACCUUUGUGCAAACGAAUAUGAGGGACAGUUGGUUACGGUCUUGGUCUAAAUCUUAACAAAUCCUAAUCAUACUGGUGGCACAUUGUUGGGGUCAAAUGAUUAUUUGACUGCCAAAUCUGAAAUACAUUUGGCAGGCCCCAACAUGUGAUAUCCUGCAUUUAGAUAACUGAGUACAGUAAUCUGUGUUGUUUUGUAUGUAUCUACAAGUACAUAUUCAAUAUAAAUAAAAUGGCAGUAUUA